GCUCUUUAUUAGAUAUAAUUAAAAUAUUAUAUAUUUCUUUGAAUGAAAUUUUGUCCAGAUUGUAAUACAAUCCAUGGCUAUUCAUCUUUAUAUCAUGUUGAAAAUGAAUUUUAGUAUUUAAAGAUGUUUUACUCUUUAAUUUUUCUUUCCAAGAUUUGGGUAUAGCUUUACGUAAAAUACAUGUUUCUGCUAUCCAAUUUUGUUUCCUUUUAAGUUUGUCUAAGAUUUUUUUGGAAAUUUCUCCUUUAUCGUCGAUUAUAUCGUUUAAUAAAAAUUAUAUCUUCUUCUAUCCAAUGUUUAAAAUACAAACUUUUGCCUUGAUUCUUAAUAUAUUGAUUUCCCCAUAUAACUUGUUUCCUGAUAUCUAAAAAGUUCUCAGGUUUUUUUGUCUUCCCGCCACCAUUUUUAAUCCAGCAUUUUAAGAUUUCUAAGUAAAAAGUAGGCAGGUUUUUUAUGUUUUCUAAUGAUUUAUGAGAACCCAGAUUCAUUUUAAAUAUGAGGUUUUUUACCCCCAAACUCACUGAAAUAAUAGGUUGGAAUAAUUUUCCAGUUUGCCCAAGUUUCAUCUGUAAGUCUUUUAACCCAAUUUAUUUUCAUUGCUUCAAUGUAAGAAUCUAGAUCUGUCAUUUUUAACCCCCCUUCUAAAUAAUUUUUUCUUAGCACUGAGCGUUUAACUUUCUCACUACCACCCUCCCAUAAAAAAAUAUAUAUCAUCUUCUUAAACUUAGAUAUAGUUUCUUUGCACAGAUUUAUUAGUGAUGCAAUAUAUGUUAUAUUAGGUAUGACAAGUGUUUUGAUGAUAGUGAUUUUACCAAUCAUGCUAAUUUUCCUUUUUUUCCAAUCAUUAAUUAUUUUUUCUGAUUUUUCCAACUGUUUUUCUGUAUUAAGUUUUUGACAUUCUUUCUUGUCAGAGCCAAAAUAAAUACCAAGACUUUUUACGUUAUGUUUCCAAUUAAUGUUUUCAAAUUUGUCUUUGCAAUGUUUAAGUUUACCUAGCCAUAUACCUUCUGUUUUGUUUCUAUUGAGUUUGAGUCCAGAGAGCGAUCCAAAGGUUUCAAUUAUAUUAAGUGCAUGCUUUAUUUCAUUUUUA
rnacentral:lncRNA from 1 species